AUUGGUUCGAGCUAGGCUCUUCUAGAAUGCAAAGUUGUUGGAGUUCUAAAUCACGAACGUUUCGUGGUUGUUCGAUCGGUAAGGGUUAGUUAUUGGACGUUCCAUAACUAAUUUACACAAGGAAGAGUUGGUGUCCGAGGCGUCCUUGGUAGCUAUAACUAGCUUAUUGGAAAAGAGGAGUUCAUCUAAUUUCAAGGAUCGGUUCAAAGACGAGGAAAACUCAUGCCUAAAGCUGAGCUUAUUCUAAUUAAUUUUUCUUCAUAUUUAUUUAACUGCUUUUAUUAUUCUGUUUUCAACUUUUUCUUUUCACGCAUUUUAUUUAUUUAUUUCAGGUCUUCAAAUUUUAUCCCCCCGAACUUCUAGGGCACAACAACUACCCCGACAUAAAUCUGGUCAAAAAAGGAACAAUUUGCAGUAAACCCAGUCUCUGAGGGAUCGACCCUACUCCAUAUAUUGCUUAAAUCGCAAAUUAGGCGUAGGUUUAGAUUGGUGGAUUCGACACCCAUCAGUUUUGGCGCCGUUGCCGGGAACUGGCAACACUUACAAUUGUUCUCGAGGAGCCCAUAAUUUAAAUAACAGGUCGUCGAGCUAACGAAGCGCUGUUGGGAGGCAACCCAAAUUUUUCCCUUUAUGCAAAUAAAAUUUUUGGUAAAACGGAAAAUGAAAAUGCAUGUCGAGGAUCAGUUCUGUCUAAGGAAAGACUUGGUACUUAAGAAUGUCCAUUGUGACUCACUUCUCUUUCUUGGGAACUUACUUGGUGCAUGUAUCACGACAGUUUCACCAAAUCUUGUAAUCUUGGUUUUUAAUAAUUUAUUUCUCGAGUUUAUAGCUUAGCUAAUAAAUUCAAGAAAUAAAAAAAUACACAUUUUAAUUUUUUUUCUUAUUAUUUAUUUUUAUUUUUAUUUUGCAGGGAGACAUUCUAAGACAAAAUUAAAUCCCCCAUGUCAUCCCACAAAAUUCUUUUAAUUUCAGCCAAGGCCCAAUCCACCUACCCACCAUUUAACACCGUGGACACACACCUACUAGGCAACCCUCCACGACGUUGAAAUACAUGGGGAGUUUCUUUUUCCUUUCCCUACUUACCUUUACUUUUUUACCAUUUAAUCCAAUUCAAAUUACAUUAGGAACAAUGUAAAAUAAGUAGGGGGAAGGGAACAUAUAUUGGUUCUAUUUUGCUUAUUCGUUGUCGUUGUUUUUGCAUGUUUUCCGUAAAAGGUAAAAUUUUUCUUUUGAUAAAUUAGGAUGGUACACUUAUGGUUUGACCUAUUUAGCUAUUUAGUUCUUUACACAUAAACUUUUCAAUAGCCUAGACUUAGUGGGUAAGAAAUUUUUUUUAUAGGAAUUAUGAGUUUGCUUGACUGCCUACCUUAUAUCACAUCUCAAUUUUUUGCCUUCUCUUCUUAAAAAAAGAGAAAAAAAAAAGAAGAAAUGAAUAAAUACUCAUCUGAUACGAAUGUUAAGAGUGAAAAAUUGGGGUUGUACAUCGGGAUGAGUAACCGGAAUGUGGUGCUUGGGUUGUCAUCACAUCUCGCGCAAAAAGGUUCGUGUGACUAUCUAAUUUCUUUGCACUCACUCCACUAACAAGCUAUCACGAGUAGGGUGAAAUAACCCGCUUCGAGACAUCCGAAUCGAGUAACCGGAACAUGGUGCUUGGGUUGUAAUCUUGUCUCGCGUAAAAAAAUUCGAAAAUGUCCUAAGUACACAAAAAAUUAUUAUUAUUAUUAUUAUUAUUAUUAUUAUAAAUAAAAAUAAAUUAGGGGUAGGUCUAUCAAGCUCUAAUAAAUUCUGAAAUAUAUUUACUUACUUCUUAGGCUAGGUUAUUUGAGAUGUUACUGUGCUAGGAUUAAAUUGUUGAAUUAUGCAAACCAUGGUGGUCAUGUCCUAUUUUUGAGAAAAUUUUUUUCUUUUUACAGAUAUAUACAAAAUGCUCGAGGACUAGCAUAAGCUAAGUAGGGGGAUUUGAUUAAAUGCUAAAGUUACAUAUUUUAUGUAAUUAAAUUGGUUAAUUUAUGAGAGUGCACCACUUAUUUUUCCAUGUUUUUGUUGAAUUUUGUGCAGGGGUGCAAUUUGGGGCUAAAUAGAAGAAAAAGGAGACAAUUGGGCUAGAUUGAAGAAAGAAGCAAAGGAGGACCAAAGCAGAAUUUUUCCAAGAUUAAUUAGCUGAAAUUUUUGUUGACUUAGUGGGAGAUUAUGUAAGGAUUUUUAAUAUAUUAUUUCUUGAUUUUCUAUACUAGUUGGCUCUUAAUUUAGCAAAGCCACUAGUAUAAAUAGUGGACUACUUUGUUCAUUUUAUCAUGAAGUCUUGAAUCAAGUCAUUAAUCAAGUUUUUAAUUACCAAGUUUUUUUUAUUAAGUAUCCAUUUCAGCUUUAGGCUGAAAUUAGCCUCGUCAAAACCCGUGAGUUACGCACCCGAGCAAAUUAACUCCUAAAUUCCAGUACUUAUUAUUUCUCCGGAUUAAGAGUAUGAUUUUGUCAACUCACGAAGUCAGAUCAACAUUAAGUCAAAAAAGACGUCGUUUGAUUUAGUGUUGUUAGGCGUACAGUUGGAAUUCUAAAAGGAACGUUUCUAAUUGGUUUUCUGUGAACACAUUGGCUUGCCAAGUGGAGAUUGCUGUUUGGUUCCGUACUAAUAACUGGAUUUAAAUGUCCCACGCGGUUGAGGGCAUUGGUUCGAGCUAGGCUCUUCUAGAACGCAAAGCUGCCGGAGUUCUAAAUCACGAAUGUUUCGUGGUUGUUCGAUCGAUAAGGGUUAGUUAUUGGACGUUCCAUAACUAAUUUACACAAGGAAGAGUUGGUGUCCGAGGCGUCCUUGGUAGCUAUGACUAGCUUAUUAGAAAAGAGGAGUUCAUCUAAUUUCGAGGAUCG
rnacentral:lncRNA from 1 species